UCGUGCAAUCCACCGCCUCGGCCUCCCAAAGUGCUAGGAUUACAGGCGUGAGCCACCGUGCCUGGCCCAUCUACCAUGUCUUAACCAUUUCAUAAAAACAAGCCAAGAAUAGGGAGCAGCUGCUUUAAAACUGAAAAAAUAACAUUUUCCACUUAUCUUUUUAGGAAAGAUGAGAAAGGAAAUGGUCCAGUGUUAUCCAUAGUUGUGGGGAAAUAGACAUUCCUAUCCAGUGGCUAAAAGUGUUAUUUCUUUUAUUACUGAUGAGAUUGGACAUUUGAAGAUAUAUUUAGUGGCCAUUUGUGCUGCUUCUGUAAACUACCUGUCCGUUGCCUAAGCUUAUUUUUUUAAUUGGAUUUUUAAAAUUAUUUACAAGGGUUUUUUUUUAAUCCUAAAGACACUAACAUUUAAGUUGUACUAGAGAGAGGUAUUGGCUGAUGCAAAUAGACAAGAAAAAUCAAUUAGAAGUGUGAGAAUUAGAAAAGAAGUAAAACUAUAUUUGCAGUUGAUACAGUUUAUUUAGAAAACCCAAGACAAUGACAAAAUUAACUUAAUAAAAUAAUUGUCAGAUAGCAGGAUAUAAAUUAGUACAGCAAUCAGUAGAUAAUGGUAGAGCAAACCUCAUUUAAAAAAACAAUAGCUUUCUCUGCUGGCACCAGCGCUGCUGCCUGCUCCUCCCCGGCCAUGGCGUUCAUGUUCGCGGCCUUUUGCUACAUGCUGGCACUGCUGCUCACUGCCACGCUCAUCUUCUUCGCUAUCUGGCACAUUAUAGCAUUUGAUGAGCUGAAGACUGAUUACAAGAAUCCCACAGACCAGUGUAAUACCCUGAAUCCUCUUGUACUUCCAGAGUACCUCAUCCAUGCUUUCUUCUGUGUCAUGUUUCUUUGUGCAGCAGAGUGGCUUACACUGGGUCUCAAUAUGCCCCUCUUGGCAUAUCAUAUUUGGAGGUAUAUGAAUAGACCAGUGAUGAGUGGACCAGGAUUCUAUGACCCUACAACCAUCAUGAAUGCAGAUAUUCUAGCAUAUUGUCAGAAAGAAGGAUGGUGCAAAUUAGCUUUUUAUCUUCUAGCAUUUUUUUACUACUUAUACGGCAUGAUCUGUGUUUUGGUAAGCUCUUAGAACAACACACAGAAGAUUCGGUCCAGUUAAGUGCAUGCAAAAAGCCACCAUAUGAAGGGAUUCUAUCCAGCAAGAUCCUGUUUCCAAGAGUAGCCUAUGGAAUCUGAUCAGUUACUUUAAAAAAAUGACUCCUUAUUUUUUAAAUGUUCCACAUUUUUGCUUGUGGAAAGACUUUUCAUAUGUUAUACUCAGAUAAAGAAUUUAAAUGGAAUUAUGUAUAAAUUAAUAUAAAAUGAUUACCUCUGGUAUUGACAGGUUUGAACUUGCACUCCUUAAGGAACAGCCAUAAUCCUCUGAAUGAUUGCAUUAAUUACUUAGUCCAUUAGAAGCUUUUGUUUAUAGGAAUUGGUAGGGCUCAUUUUUGGUUUUAUUGAAAGGACAUCUAAUUAUAAAUGAGCUAUGGAUAUCAGGUGCUUCUGAUGAGCUGGAAAUGUAUAUCUGACUCAUGGGAAACUUCAUGGGUUUCCUCAUCUAUCAUGUAGAUGAUUAUAUAUGGGUACAUUUACAAAAAUAAGAGUGGGAUUUUUUCCCUUCAACUUUAAUAUUAUCCCUAUAUAUUGCAUGAAUGAGAGAUUUCCCAUAUUUCCACCAGAGUAAGAAAUAUACUUGCUUUAAUUCUUAAGCAUAAGUGAACAUGAUCUAAAAAAUAUGCUGAAUUACUUGUGAAGAAUGCAUUUAAAGCUAUUUUAAAUGUGUUUUUAUUUGUAAGACGUUACUUGUUAAGAAAUUUGUUAUUAUGCUUACUGUUCUAAUCUGGUAGUAAAGGUAUUCUUAAGAAUUUGCAAGUACUUUAGAUUUUCAAAACUGAAUAAGAGAGAAAAUUAUAUAACCAUCCUGCUGUUCCUUUAGUGCAAUACAAUAAAACUCUGAAAUUAAAACAAACAAAAAAAACAAUAAAGUUUUCCUCCCUGGCUGCUUGAGGAUCAACCACCAUCAUGAAUGACACAGUAAGUUUAUGACUAAUCGACUACUUCAGAGGAAACAAAUGGUCAUUGAUGUCCUUCACCCAAGGAAGGCAACAGUACCUAAGAUAGAAAUUUGGGGAAAACUAGCCAAAAUGUACAAGACCACACUGGAUGUUAUCUUUGUAUUUGGAUUCAGAACUCACUUUGGUGGGGGCAAGACAACUGGCUUUGACAUGAUUUGCAAAAAAAAAAAAAAUGAACCCAAAGAUAGACUUGCAAGACAUGGCCUGUAUGAGAAGAAAAAGACUUCAAGAAAUCAAGGAAAGGAACACAAAAA